GAGCUGAAAAAACUAGAAAAAUGAUUCGUUCACACUUCAGAGGAGGAACGGAAUGGGCAGAUGAAGGUCUAGUUUUAUCAACUCCUAGUGAUCAAGCAUGUAAACUAUUUGAUUCAGCUUUAUCUCAGCUUAUUGGAUGGUAUGAUGACAAAACAUUUGGUGGUUUGAAGACAACACUAGAAAAUAUGAAAGUAGCAGAUCCAGAUUUUGUGAUGGGCCAUGUGAUGUCUAUAGGCUUAGAUCUUAUUGGCAGUGGAAGGACACCACGACUAGACAACAGUUUUAAAAUGGAAAUUGAAACCAUGGAAUCUUUAGCCAAAAAGCAAGCUGAUGGUUUAACUCAGAGAGAACAAAGUCAUGUUAAGGCUAUCCAGUUGUGGGCAGACGGGUAUCUGAAAGAAGCCACUGGUGUGUUGGACAAUAUCUUAGUGAAACACCCAACUGAUAUGUUUGCUAUAAGAAUGGCUCAUGAUGGCUAUUUUUACCAAGGCCACCUACCACAGAUGCGAGAUUCGAUUGCUCGAGCUCUUCCUCAAUGGAAACCAGCCACUCCUUUGUAUAGUUACUUGUUUGGCUUAUACGCAUUUGGACUGGAGGAGACAAACUUUUACUCUACAGCAGAAGGAUUUGCUCGAAAGGGACUGUAUCUAAACCCUAAUGAUGCUUGGGCAACCCAUGCUCUUGCCCAUGUGUUUGAAAUGGAAAGUCGUACCAGUGAAGGAGAGGCCUUCAUGAGUUCCACAGUAAACAACUGGGAGUUGGGUAACAUGUUGGCUUCUCAUAACUACUGGCAUUGGGCAUUGUAUCUUAUUGAACAGGGAGAGUUCGAGGCAGCAAUAGACAUAUUUGAUGCACAAGUUGGUAAAAGAAUGCUUUUGGGAAGAUCACUAGGCAUUGAUGCUACAUCUCUGCUGUAUCGCUUGGAACUUGAAGGAGCCCAAGUGAAGGACAGAUGGCGAGAAGUUUAUGAAGUAUGUUGUACACACAUGGAAGACCACAUUUUAGCUUUCAAUGAUGCCCAUCUUUUUAUGUCAUGUCUUGGGGCUAAAGAAAAAAAUGCUACAAGACUAAUGAUGAAUUCACUUGAUGAAUACCUCAGAGAAAGUAAGGGGACCAACCCUGAAGUUACUGCUAAAGUAGGAAGUAAAAUUAUCCAAGCUCUUCUAGCAUAUGAUGAAGAGAGAUAUGAAGAUGUAGUUUCUAUCCUCUACCCUGUACGAUACGAGAUUGUUCAAAUUGGUGGAACGGGAUGUAUUUAACCUGCUUCUUAUACAUGCUGCUUUGAAGUCUUCAAAGAGGUAUCAUCAUUGCCUAGCUCAGUGUCUUUUGUAUGAUCGAAAAGCUUUUAGAGGUACUUCACCCAUGAUGGAUCGUUUGAUGGCAAGAGCUUUGGCUUCCCAUCAAGUAUGAUAAUUUGAUUUAUGUAACUGAUUCUUCAUUGUUUGUCAAGAAAGAACCUUGUUGCCAAGUAAAUACCAUCAAGAUGCAAAGUGAAUAUGUUAUGUUAAAAUUCUUCAUAGAUUGUAUUACAAUAAGUUUUUAUGUUAGCCAUUUACUUAAAUGAUGUCUUAUUAGUCAUGCAUAAAGGAUAAUGAAAUUUCCAUAAUGGAAAGUUUUAAGCUAUUGGCAGUUGCAUUUUUUUUCUCCAGAGUGACAUUAGUGUUAAUUAAUUUUUUCUUGAACACAAAUUGUUACAUUUAUGCAUUAUAACAAAAUUAUCUUUCUUGUUCUGCUGUACAUAAACCUUAAUAAUUAUGUUGUUUCUGAUUAAAGUUAAAAAGAUUGUACAUUUUUGGCAUUAAUGUAAAACGGGGUUUUACUAAAACAAAUUUUGUCAUAAAAAUAGCAAACAGUUUACAUGUUGGAUUUUAAGAAAAUUUGAGCUUUAGCAUAGCCAAAAAAUUUCAGUUUGUCUGAAAUAGCACAUUAUCAACUGUUAUUGCUAAAUAUUAUUGAUACACAAAACAACCACAAUUAAAGAAUUCAAAUUAGAAAUAGCCAUGAUAAAAACAGAAAACACUAUGCAGUACUGCCAUUUUUCUUUCCUAGCACAAAUAUUUUGUGUAGCUUUCUUGAUUUGUUAUAUUGUUAUUUGUGAAAUAAAAGUACAUUUAUACUUCCAAGAGUAAA
rnacentral:misc_RNA from 1 species